rnacentral:rRNA from 1 species
UACGUAGGUGGCAAGCGAUACUCGGAAUCACUAGGCGUAAAGCGCAGGUAGGCGGUUCGGUAAGUCUUUUGUGAAAGCUCCCGGCUCAACUGGGAGAGGUCAAAGGAAACUACCGGGCUUGAGUGUGGUAGGGGAUACUGGAAUUCCCGGUGUAGCGGUGAAAUGCGUAGAUAUCGGGAGGAAUACCUAUGGCGAAAGCAGGUAUCUGGGCCAUCACUGACGCUGAUCUACGAAAGCUAGGGGAGCAAACAGG